rnacentral:misc_RNA from 1 species
AACGCACCUUGCGCUCCUUGGUAUUCCGAGGAGCAUGCCUGUUUGAGUGUCAUUAAAUUCUCAACUUCAUCAACUUUGUUGUUGAGGCUUGGAUGUGGGGGUUUUGCAGGUCUGCCUUAAUUGUGCGGUCUGCUCCCCUGAAAUGUAUUAGCGGGUUGGCUUCCCUCUAUCAGUGUGAUAAUUAUCUACGCUGUGGAUGGGUUUGGCUUUCAGACCGGCUUCUAAUCGUCCUUUCAAAGGACAAUCUAUUGACAUUUUUGACCUCAAAUCAGGUAGGACUACCCGCUGAACUUAA